rnacentral:rRNA from 1 species
GACGAACGCUGGCGGCGUGCCUAAUACAUGCAAGUAGAACGCACAGUUUAUACCGUAGCUUGCUACACCAUAAACUGUGAGUUGCGAACGGGUGAGUAACGCGUAGGUAACCUGCCUGGUAGCGGGGGAUAACUAUUGGAAACGAUAGCUAAUACCGCAUAAUAUUAAUUAUUGCAUGAUAAUUGAUUGAAAGAUGCAAUUGCAUCACUACCAGAUGGACCUGCGUUGUAUUAGCUAGUAGGUGAGGUAACGGCUCACCUAGGCGACGAUACAUAGCCGACCUGAGAGGGUGGUCGGCCACACUGGGACUGAGACACGGCCCAGACUCCUACGGGAGGCAGCAGUAGGGAAUCUUCGGCAAUGGGCGAAAGUCUGACCGAGCAACGCCGCGUGAGUGAAGAAGGUUUUCGGAUCGUAAAGCUCUGUUGUAAGAGAAGAACGGGUGUGAGAGUGGAAAGUUCACACUGUGACGGUAUCUUACCAGAAAGGGACGGCUAACUACGUG